rnacentral:rRNA from 1 species
GAAUGCUGACAUAAGUAACGAUAAAGCGGGUGAAAAGCCCGCUCGCCGGAAGACCAAGGGUUCCUGUCCAACGUUAAUCGGGGCAGGGUGAGUCGACCCCUAAGGCGAGGCCGAAAGGCGUAGUCGAUGGGAAACAGGUUAAUAUUCCUGUACUUGGUGUUACUGCGAAGGGGGGACGGAGAAGGCUAUGUUAGCCGGGCGACGGUUGUCCCGGUUUAAGCAUGUAGGCUGGUUAUCCAGGCAAAUCCGGAUAAUCAAGGCUGAGGUGUGAUGACGAGGCACUACGGUGCUG